ACAUACGACCAUAGGGUGUGGAAAACAGGGCUUCCCGUCCGCUCAGCCGUACUUAAGCCACACGCCGGCCGGUUAGUAGUUGGGUGGGUGACCACCAGCGAAUCCCGGCUGUUGUAUAUU
rnacentral:rRNA from 1 species